CGGCGGCUGUGCAUUCUGGUCUUGUACCCAGAGCCUCUGGACAAACAAACAGAAAAAGGGGAAGGCUUUUCCUCGCCGGGGCCGGCGCCGCCGCCGCCGUCUAAAGCUCUAAACCCUCUCCGCGGCGGCAGGACCAAGUUUCAAGGCACACUUGAUCGAGAUGGCCUCGCAGAACACCGGGUCUGGAUCGGCAUCUUCUUUGGGCAGUCUAUUUGAUUCUGAUGAUGAAGAAAACAGUGCCCCGUCUGUGCUCUCGAUAGAAGCUAACCCUGAUACCGAGGAGCUAGAUUCUUCCUCAAAAAAGAGGUCUUAUUUACUGAGCAAGAUGAGCUUCUCGAAGCAACAUGUCGAUUUGGCAGUCAGUGAGUUAGGUGAGGGAGCAUCAAUUGAUCAGCUUGUGAACUGGAUUGUGACUGCCCAAGAAGCUACAACUGAGGGAAAUGCUGAAUUUCUGCCUGCGCAAAUGGAUAAACCGCAUUCUUUGCUCCAGAUGGGGUUUACUCAACAAGAAGUCUCAAUUGCUAUUGAAGCUUUCGGUCAAGAAGCCAAAGUUGAGGAGCUCGCUGACGCAAUUCUGGCAAGACGCAUUGCAAAUAACAUUGAGCAGAAAGAAGAAACUGCUGAAUUGCUGCCUGAGGUAAUGGAUAAACCACUUUCUUUGCUCAAGAUGGGUUUCAAUAAAGAAGAGGUCUCAUCUGUGAUUGCUAUUUUCGGUGAGGAAGCAACAGUCGAGGAGUUGGCUGACUCGAUAUUCGCAAGACGCUUCUCAAAUACCACUCAGCAGAAAAAAGUGAAGAUAGAGUCUGAAUUUCCGGACGAGACAGAAACUGAGUAUUCAAUUUCGAGAUUGAGGUUCUAUGAUGAUUAUGAUGCCAACAUCAGGCGUAAAAAGGCCAAGCAUGCAUUUGGAGAUGACAGAAGGGCGUCAAGCAGUCAGAAUGUUAAUCAAUCUAGCCGCACUCCAUGGUUAAGUCGUUGUUCUGGGUCAAUUGCUAAUGGUUCUCUGAACGAUGAAUGUCUUGAAAGGACGUCAAGCCUUGGUAGAAACAUCCGUGUCGACUUUGCCAAGCCUCCUUUCUUCAUCUAUGCAAGUCUAGUUGACAUCAGCAAAGACAGUUGGAAUACGUUAUCGAGUUUCUUAUUCAAUGUUCAACCGAAGUAUCUAAACAGUCAGUCGUUCUCGGCUCUGACGCGAAGGGAGGGUUACAUUCAUAACCUUCCAACGGAGGGAAGGCACGUCACGGUUCCAAGGUCACCAAUGACGAUCAGAGAUGCAUUACCUUUGACAAGGCAGUUCUGUCCCUCCUGGGACACGAGAAAAUGGAUUGAUGGUGUUGGCUUAGAUGUGGCAGGAAAUGAACAGAUUCGUGACAAGCUGGAGAAGGCAAUGAAAGAUUCACGAGGAAUCCCUUCAGAAGUGAAGCAAGCACAGAUUGUCCAGCAAUGCAAGACGGCGAAUCUUGUCUGGAUCGGCCAAGGCAAGUUAGGCCCUCUGCAGCCACACCAGAUGGAAAUGAUACUAGGCUAUCCAGCUAACCACACAGAUCUGCCGGGCAUAGACCCACAAGACAAGGUUGCUUCCAUGAGGUUUGCCUUGCAAACUGAUACCAUAGCAUACCUUUUGUCGGUCCUAAAGGACCGGUAUCCUGAUGGGCUGAGAGUGAUCUCUAUCUACAGUGGAAUCGGGGGUGCAGAAGUCGCUCUACACCGUCUCGGAAUUCCGCUGAGGUGCGUGGUGUCCGUAGAGGAGUCUGUGGUGAACCGUAGAGUUCUAAAGAUGUGGUGGAGAAAAACCCAGCAGAACGGAAAGCUGAGACAACUGGAUAGGAUACAGAAGCUAGAUACUAAGGAGUUUGAGGCCCUGAUGAAAGAGUUUGGUGGUUUUGACCUGAUUGUUGGCGGAAAUUAUGGUCUGUACAGAGGCACAGCGAUGACAGUGGGCACGACCAUGGGUAUGGACACAAAUCAGUUCUUUGAGUAUGUCCGCAUUGUCCAGAUGGUGAGAAGAAAAAUGCAAGGAAUUGCCUGACACACACAGAUUUGUCCUCAUUCGUUCUCCUCUGGAUGUGGAUCAUCAAGCAGCAUAGCAUGUGGGUGAGGCAUCCAGCCAUCCAAGAUCAGAGUACAGAGGCUGUAUUUGCUUUCCAUGAGAUUCAGUUCAGUUCGUCACUGCAUCGUUGUUCAGUUCAGUUCAGUUCCUCACUGCAUCGUUGUUCAGAAACCAAUCAACUAACUAAUUUGUAAUGUGAGGCAGCAGCCAUUUUUUGUUCGAGUACAGAGCACAGAUUCAGUUCAGUUCCAAAUUAGGAAGCAUGUGUUGUUGCAUCCUGUAAUCAUGGGGGAAUUCGGUUGUAGAGUGCAGAGAGGAGUCUUCCUAAUUCUGACCUAGAUGAAGGUGAGGUGGAAGCUGUAAUGUAUCAAGUGAUGAGUUUCUUGCGCUCCUCGAGAUUUUGACUGAAGACGAGUCUAGUUGCCGGCAAAGACAAAAACCCUAUUGAAAGUCCAGCGAAUGAUUUUCGAUCAUGUUGUCGAGAUUUGGCUGAUAUUGUUUACGGUGGUUUGUAGCACCGUUGGAUAAAACUUGAGGCUGCUAAAAAUGGUGCCAUGUUGUUUAGGUUAGCUACACACUUCUGUGACUGUUACCAUUCAUAAAUCAGUUUCAUAAUUAACUGAUGGUAGAAAUUAAAACCAGGUAGGUGGCACUCUUUCCUGUGUA